ensembl:lncRNA
CUUUUGUGGCAGUGUCACUUGAGGUAAGGCUGCUUCACUUCAACUGGGCUAGAAGAGAACAGAGUGUAUACUGUGUCCCUAUACUCUAGUUGAUGUGCUCUUGUGCCCUCUGGAGGCGUGGGAUGGGUUUACCAAAGAUGGUUCAGUACAUGCCCCAGAAGUUAUUGGUUCAGGUCUUCUGGCCCCGUUACAAUAAUACUUGAAAAGGGCAUCAUACAUUUCCCCCUUCCUUGAAAGAAUCACAUUCAUAUAAGUUCAGUUGUUAUCAUCAUAGACUGUAUUUGGUUCAUAUUCUGAUAUAUUCGAAAGAAGGGAUAUUCCUCUGCUGUGUGGUCAAUGACCCAUGUCAAUUUCCCAUGUCAAUUUCCCAUGUCAAUUUCCCAUGUCAAUGCCCCAAGUCAAUGCCCCAUGUCAAUGCCCCAUGUCAAUGCCCCAUGUCAAUGACCCAUGUCGUAGCGUCUCCCUUUCCCAAGAGGUCAGUAAUAAGAGCUGUGACUGACCAAAACAAAAUGCCUCUGCACAUCUGCUACACAUCUGCUACAAGAUCAGAGUAGUGCAGAAGGUGUCUUAAGCUGAGGCAAAGAAGACAAAACGAGGAAGAUUGGUAAGGUUGGCUCCUUAGUGUUCAUAGAGAGUGAUAGGAAUAACAAGCGUUUCAGUAAGGUUAGCUCCUUAGCGUUCAUAGCCAUGGUUAUCAACUGUAAUGGAAUCACAGAGAAUAGAUGUGUUGGCAGCUGAUGAAAAGUACUGGGGUUACGAGAUUGGACUGCAGAAGAGUUACAAGGUGUUUUGAACGAGAAGAUGUCGGCCUGGUGUAGGAUCAGAUCGGGUCAAGUAGAGGAAUAGUGGUGAGAUUUGAAUAGGUGUAGGGUUAGUUGGUAUAGUGGUGUAGGGUUAGUUGGUAUAGCAGUGAGGUUUUAAUGGGUGUAGGGUUAGUUGGUAAAGUGGUGUAGGGUUAGUUGGUAUAGUGGUGAGGUGUUAAUGGGUGUAGGGUUAGUUGGUAUAGCAGUGAGGUGUUAAUGGGUGUAGGGUUAGUUGGUAUAGCAGUGAGGUGUUAAUGGGUGUAGGGUUACUUGGUAUAGCAGUGAGGUGUUAAUGGGUGUAGGGUUAGUGUCACGCCCUGGUCAAAGUAUUUUGUGUUUUUCUUCAUGUAUUGGGUCAGGCCAGGGUGUGGCAUGGGGUUUUUGUAUUGUGGUGUGUUUUGUCUUGGGGUUUUGGUGUGUAUGUAUUGGGAUUGUAGCUAGUGGGGUUAUCUAGCAAAGUCUAUGGCUGUCUGGAGUGGUUCUCAAUCAGAGGCAGGUGUUUAUCGUUGUCUCUGAUUGGGAACCAUAUUUAGGCAGCCAUAUUCUUUGAGUUUGUUGUGGGUGAUUGUCCUAUGUGUCCUUGUUCCUGGCUCUGUGUUAGUUUACACCAGUAGAGGCUGUUUUCGUUACGCUCUUUGUUUUGUAGUGUUGAAUAUUGAUUUGUGUUUUACGUUUGUUCAUUAAACAUGGAUCGCAAUCUACACGCCGCAUUUUGGUCCGACUCUCCUUCACACCUAGAAAACCGUAACAAUUAGUUGGUAUAGUGGUGAGGUUUUAAUGGGUGUAGGGUUAGUUGGUAUAGUGGUGAGGUUUUAAUGGGUGUAGGGUUAGUUGGUAUAGUGGUGAGGUUUUAAUGGGUGUAGGGUUAGUUGGUAUAGUGGUGUAGGGUUAGUUGGUAUAGUGGUGAGGUGUUAAUGGGUGUAGGGUUAGUUGGUAUAGCAGUGAGGUUUUAAUGGGUGUAGGGUUAGUUGGUAUAGCAGUGAGGUGUUAAUGGGUGUAGGGUUAGUUGGUAUAGUGGUGUAGGGUUAGUUGGUAUAGUGGUGUGGUGUUAAUGGGUGUAGUGUUAGUUGGUAUAGUGGGGAGGUUUUAAUGGGUGUAGGGUUAGUUGGUAUAGUGGUGUAGGGUUAGUUGGUAUAGUGGUGAGGUUUUAAUGGGUGUCGGGUUAGUUGGUAUAGCAGUGAGGUUUUAAUGGGUGUAGGGUUAGUUGGUAUAGCAGUGAGGUGUUAAUGGGUGUAGGGUUAGUUGGUAUAGUGGUGUAGGGUUAGUUGGUAUAGUGGUGUAGGGUUAGUUGGUAUAGUGGUGAGGUUUUAAUGGGUGUCGGGUUAGUUGGUAUAGCAGUGAGGUUUUAAUGGGUGUAGGGUUAGUUGGUAUAGCAGUGAGGUUUUAAUGGGUGUAGGGUUAGUUGGUAUAGUGGUGUGGUGUUAAUGGGUGUAGGGUUAGUUUGUAUAGCAGUGAGGUGUUAAUGGGUGUAGGGUUAGUUG